CAGUGCCAAACUGCCAAACUGAUCAAUUGCAUCCUAAUGGAACGUUCAAGAUGUGAUUCAGUAACUGAUACGGUAGUUGCAAUCAUUAUUUUUGACCAAAUGAUUACGAACAAGCGUAGCUAUCUUUGGAGAGGUAAUGCACCUACUGAUAUCCCGUGAUGAGAACUUGGGAGAGAUUUAGUGAAAACCUGGAGAACGGCCACUUAGCUCACAAAUCUGAGCUGUUCACAUCAAGCUGAUAUUUGUGACAGCCAUUAUAGCUUUAAUCGUUUUCUCGAUUGAUCAAAGCACCACAGGCUGCAUCGUUCGUCACCUCUGCCUUUAAGCGCGUUAUCACUUACUCCAAUAAGUCACCCAAAUAUCCUUAAUAAGCAAUAGAAGUUCUUAUCGACUGUGUAUGACUCAUUAAUAUCCAUGUUUUGUAUAAAUUUAUGUGAUAGGCCUACUGGUAUUAAUGUUGAUGUACCGUAAUGUUUUUUGCUCAUGUAUAAUUGAUAAUAAUACAUUAAAAAUAAAUAAAAUGUUAAAUUAUUA
rnacentral:lncRNA from 1 species